rnacentral:lncRNA from 1 species
CUCGGAGAGCAACUUGACUUUGAAUGCAGCAUAUAAUCACCACUAACACACAGUGUGUUUGCUCUUGGCCGGGCACUAUUCCAAGUUCUUUCUGUUUUCCCAGGCCCCAUGUGACCUACCAUCCUCCUGUCUCCAGGCAGGAAGGCAGGCUCAGGGCUGGGUCUCAGCCUUCAUCUACCGUGGACAGCAACACCUGGGAAGAACCUCCGUACACCACCUGAGGACUGGAGUCCUGGAGUUCUGCCACGAAGCUUUUCAGAAAUCAGUACAGGAAGAUCUCCAAGAUACAUUUUUAAGUAAAAAUCAAGAUGUAGAACAGUAUGUCUGAUAAGGAAGAAAAAUGCAAGAAUAA